UACGGAGGGGGCUAGCGUUGUUCGGAAUUACUGGGCGUAAAGCGCACGUAGGCGGCUUUGUAAGUUAGAGGUGAAAGCCCGGAGCUCAACUUCGGAAUUGCCUUUAAGACUGCAUCGCUUGAACGUCGGAGAGGUGAGUGGAAUUCCGAGUGUAGAGGUGAAAUUCGUAGAUAUUCGGAGGAACACCAGUGGCGAAGGCGGCUCACUGGCUCGAUACUGACGCUGAGGUGCGAAAGCGUGGGGAGCAAACAGG
rnacentral:rRNA from 1 species